UACAGAGGGUGCGAGCGUUAAUCGGAAUUACUGGGCGUAAAGCGUGCGCAGGCGGUAAGUUAAGUCUGAUGUGAAAGCCCCGGGCUCAACCUGGGAAUGGCAUUGGAAACUGGCUUGCUAGAGUGUGGCAGAGGGGGGUGGAAUUCCGCGUGUAGCAGUGAAAUGCGUAGAGAUGCGGAGGAACACCGAUGGCGAAGGCAGCCCCCUGGGCCAACACUGACGCUCAGGCACGAAAGCGUGGGGAGCAAACAGG
rnacentral:rRNA from 1 species